GAAUUACUGUUUCAAGGAUGACGUCAUGAAAAUCGUCAUCUUUUUAAAUUCUAAAAAUUCUGAGAAAAAUAUAUGUUAUUAUUUAGGAUGUCUAAAACAUUUAUUCAGAAUAAAAUUCCUUCAAAAUCGCAACACACAGUUGUCUAUGAAAUUAGCAAAACACACACGUUCUGGAAACUGUUUCAGAAUUCAGCUACUGUUCUAGUCCGAAUCUUCCUCCACGACGUUUGUCUUGCUCUCUAAACCCUAUCUAAGCUUUUCUAUGUCUAUCCUAACAUCCCUAACCAACAUCCAUCCAUAUAUAACGUCAUCUACAUCUUUCUAACUUGUACGAAUUCCUAAUAGAGGUACUCAACCCCUAGUCCAGAUUUAGAAGACAACUCACCUAUUCACAACUAACGGCGGCUCUCGUUGAAGGUUGGAUAGCAACACAGAGACCAACCUUGAGUCUCUCGGUGAUGGUGUUGAGCCGAAACCAC
rnacentral:lncRNA from 1 species